rnacentral:misc_RNA from 1 species
UUGAUUCAUUUAUAAUUGUGUACUCAGAAGAUACAGUGUAAAAACAAGAGUUUGGUAGGGGCCACCGGCCGACCUGCUCCUUCUUUGAAGCAAAGAAGGGGCCUCCAAAAGAAGCCAGUCACUGCCGAGGCAACGUUGUUUGAGAAUAAGUUCACAAAGGGUUUCUGGGUAGCGCCCGUGAGGGCGUUUGUUCCAGCAAUGAUCCCUCCGCUGGUUCACCAACGGAGA